CCCUUAGACGUUCUGGGCCGCACGCGCGCUACACUGACACAGGCAACGAGCUUUCCUUUACCGAAAGGUAUGGGUAAUCUUUUGAAACUGUGUCGUGCUGGGGAUAGAUCCUUGCAAUUUUUGAUCUUAAACGAGGAAUUCCUAGUAAGCGCGAGUCAUCAACUCGCGUUGAUUACGUCCCUGCCCUUUGUACACACCGCCCGUCGCUACUACCGAUUGAGUGGCCUAGUGAGGCCUCAGGAUCCGCGCUUAAUGUGUGGAGAAUUUGGACAAACUACGUCAUUUAGAGGAAGUAAAAGUCGUAACA
rnacentral:rRNA from 1 species